AGGGUUUGAUUAUGGCUCAGAACGAACGCUGGCGGCAGGCUUAACACAUGCAAGUUGAACGAGAAUUUACCCGGCUUGCCGGGUGAAGGGAAGUGGCGCACGGGUGAGUAACACAUGGGAACAUACCCUGAAGUGGGGAAUAACAGUUGGAAACGAUUGCUAAUACCGCAUAAUCCCUGAGGGGGAAAGAUUUAUCGCUUUAGGAAUGGCCCAUGGCAGAUUAGGCAGUUGGUGAGGUAACGGCUCACCAAACCGACGAUCUGUAGCUGGUCUGAGAGGACGAUCAGCCACACUGGAACUGAGACACGGUCCAG
rnacentral:rRNA from 1 species